UACGAAGGCAGCAGUGGGGAAGUAUUGCACAAUGGGCGAAAGCCUGAUGCAGCUAUGCCGCGUGUAUGAAGAAGGCCUUAGGGUUGUAAAGUACUUUCAUCGGGGAGGAAAAAACAAAACUAAUAAUUUUAUUUCUUGACGUUACCCGAAAAAGAAGCACCGGCUAACUCCGUGCCAGCAGCCGCGGUAAUACGGAGGGUGCUAGCGUUAAUCAGAAUUACUGGGCGUAAAGAGCACGUAGGUGGUUUUUUAAGUCAGAUGUGAAAUCCCUGGGCUUUAACCUAGGAACUGCAUUUUGAAACUGAAAUACUAGAGUAUCGUAGAGGGAGGUAGAAUUCUAGGUGUAGCGGUGAAAUGCGUAGAUAUCUGGAGGAAUACCUGUGGCGAAAGCGGCCUCCUAAACGAAUACUGACACUGAGGGUGCGAAAGCGUGGGGAGCAAACAGGGAUUAGAUACC
rnacentral:rRNA from 1 species